rnacentral:rRNA from 1 species
UACAGAGGUCUCAAGCGUUGUUCGGAGUUACUGGGCGUAAAGGGGUGUGAGUAGGCGGUUAUUUAAGUUUGGUGUGAAAUCUCCCGGCUCAACCGGGAGGGUGCGCCGAAUACUGAAUGACUUGGAGUGCGGGAGAGGAAAGUGGAAUUCCUGGUGUAGCGGUGAAAUGCGUAGAUAUCAGGAGGAACACCGGUGGUGUAGACGGCUUUCUGGACCGUAACUGACGCUGAGACACGAAAGCGUGGGUAGCAAACAGG